ACCUCACCAUUCGGCCAGCCUCUCGCCCUCCUCUGCCCUUGCUCUCUCCACCGUCCUGCACUCCGAUACUCCCAUAUGGCACCGUUCACGCGCCCAGCCCCACGAGCCACCGACUCCCCUAGAGUUACACCGGGACGCUACGUCCCCCAGAGGGGCCUGGUGCUGAAGCGGGUGCUCAAAAGCCUCCUCUCGUGGCUGCUGCGCCGCCGCCGCCGCCGUGCCGGCCGCCCCCGUCCCGGCAGGGGCGCCGCCGCGCCGCCGGGCCGUCGUGGCACGUAGUACUAACCAUCAACCACCACCUCUCCUCAACUGGAGUGUAUCCGUCAAUUAUUCUGCAGGUCAGGUCAAGUCGUACACGUCCGGUCCGGGCCGGCGUCACAAGCGGUGACCCAGCUGGCCGAGACGUAGACGGGUCAACGAGUCAAGCUAUCGGGGUUGCUCAGGAUGGUGGCAGAAAACCAAGUGUUGCAUCCGGCCUCCGGUCGUCAGUCAACUUAAUACUAUUGUUUCAUUGGUUAUUAUUUCGUUGCAUAAAAUACUGGAUACAUAUAGAUGGACCACACGCUUACUGACGGCAUCUCUUGCUGUUCGCGUGGGGCGUGCAUGUGUCUCCACGCUGUAAUAGGUCAUGUUAUUUUUUCGUUUUUUUCUUUUAUAUAACACAUAUACCUGUUUUUUCGUUCUUGAUGGGCCGAAUUUCAUAAUAUUUGCGGUGAAUUCUGAUAAUCCA